rnacentral:rRNA from 1 species
GACGGGGGAUGCAAGCGUUAUCCGGAAUCACUGGGCGUAAAGCGUCUGUAGGCGGUGAUGCAAGUCACUGGCGCAAAACUCUGGCUCAACCGGAGGAAAGCCAGUGAAACUGCAUGACUAGAGUGUGGGAGAGGUAGAAGGAAUUCCCUGAGUAGCGGUGAAAUGCGUAGAUACAGGGAAGAACACCGGAGGCGAAAGCGUUCUACUGGAACACAACUGACACUGAGAUACGAAAGCUAGGGGAGCGAAUGGG